AAUGGGGGAAACCCUGAUCCAGCCAUGCCGCGUGAGUGAAGAAGGCCCUAGGGUUGUAAAACUCUUUCAGUCGUGACGAUGAUGACGGUAGCGACAGAAGAAGCCCCGGCUAACUCCGUGCCAGCAGCCGCGGUAAUACGGAGGGGGCUAGCGUUGUUCGGAAUUACUGGGCGUAAAGCGCACGUAGGCAGUCUAUCUAGUUAGAGGUGAAAGGCCCGGGCUCAACCUGGGAACUGCCUUUAAUACUGGUAGGCUAGAGUCCGGGAGAGGGUAGCGGAAUUCCAAGUGUAGAGGUGAAAUUCGUAGAUAUUUGGGAGAACACCGGUGGCGAAGGCGGCUACCUGGACCGGCACUGACGCUGAGGUGCGAAAGCGUGGGGAGCGAACAGGAUU
rnacentral:rRNA from 1 species